UGCGUAGGUGGCGGGGUAAGUCUGGUGUGAAAUCUCCGAGCUCAACUCGGAAAAGCAUUGGAAACUAUCCCGCUAGAGGGUCGGAGGGGAGACUGGAAUUCUCGGUGUAGCAGUGAAAUGCGUAGAUAUCGAGAGGAACACCAGUGGCGAAGGCGAGUCUCUGGACGACUCCUGACACUGAGGCACGAAAGGCUAGGGGAGGCAAACA
rnacentral:rRNA from 1 species